AUACCAUCGUCCGUCGGGCCACAGAAAAACCCGGUUUCCUGCUCGUUCUUUUCCCCCUCUGCUCCAGAACUUUUAACGACCAAAACGUCGACGUGCAACGGAUCCCUGCGAUCGUCGGGGAACCGAAUCAAACGAAUCAAAGCGACGACGACCCUUUAUCGCAUGGAUCACAACGAUUGGUGGUGCGGAAGCGAUUAAAUCUUUCGUUAAUUGAACGGAAACAUCCUGGCUUCAAUGUGUCGCAAUGGCUGAUCGAUAUCUGGUUUGUGAGUCUCAAUCGUCGAGGCAUAAUCAUCCGAAGCGAUCAAGACCUGCCAAGAAAAUCGUUACCAAAUUUCAUUUAAAAUGGUUGUAAUAAAACUUUGAACGUACGAUAACUAAUUAGGAAGCCAAAUCACCAGUAAGGCACAUGAAGCCUUCGAAGAGGUUCCUAAAA